rnacentral:rRNA from 1 species
AGAGCGAACGCUGGCGGCAGGCUUAACACAUGCAAGUCGAGCGGGCGUAGCAAUACGUCAGCGGCAGACGGGUGAGUAACGCGUGGGAACAUACCUUUUGGUUCGGAACAACACAGGGAAACUUGUGCUAAUACCGGAUAAGCCCUUACGGGGAAAGAUUUAUCGCUGAAAGAUUGGCCCGCGUCUGAUUAGCUAGUUGGUGAGGUAACGGCUCACCAAGGCGACGAUCAGUAGCUGGUCUGAGAGGAUGAUCAGCCACAUUGGGACUGAGACACGGCCCAAACUCCUACGGGAGGCAGCAGUGGGAAUAUUGGACAAUGGGCGCAAGCCUGAUCCAGCCAUGCCGCGUGAGUGAUGAAGGCCCUAGGGUUGUAAAGCUCUUUGUGCGGGAAGAUAAUGACGGUACCGCAAGAAUAACGCCCCGGCUAACUUCGUGCCAGCAGCCGC